GGGAGUGGGAAAGAGGUGGCAUCGGCGGUUCAAGACUGAGUUUUCUAUCUCUUCAGUGCCUCUUUCAACAAUGAAGAUCAAACCAGGUUUUGUGCAAAUAUCUGCUGAGUGAACUACUUAUUUGAAAAUACAUCAUUGGUUAAUAUUCCCUUUUGCUCAUUGAAAUCUCAAAGACUACAGACCCCGCACAAGACAUUCUGACAUUCCCGUCUUUGAAAUGAAUGACAGCAAUGAUAAAUAUGGCUCACCUCCAGAGAUACAGAUCUCACAACUUCAUAUUUUUAAUAUAAAUUAUUAAUCUGAGGUGUGGUGCAAUUCCAUUAGAUGAAAGAGAUCUACACAUUCAGAAGCACAUGAUUCUUCCCCCUUCCAUGAUUCCAGUGGCCAAUAGACAAACUACAAUAAAGCCAUGCCCUGACUGGAUGUGCCUAACAUUUGUCUGGUGCUUAAAGGAGUUGGCUGCAUGCGUGGAAAUGUUGGAAAGUCACCAAAAAUAGUUCUCCAAGUCAGAAGCGGUGCAAAAGCUGCCUCAGCUCUUGGUGGAUUUUCAAUUUCUCCCAGCCAUCUCUGUUUCGCUAAAGGUUUCUGAAGACAGUGGGAGUUUCCCUGCACAAGCCCUCUUCUCUUGUCUGCCACCCUGUGAGACAUGGCUUUUGCCUUCCACCAUGAUUGUGUGGCCUCCCCAACCACGUGGAACUAUAAUGAAGAUAUUAUACCAUUAUAUGCUCUUGAAUCUGUCUCAUUGUGACUUGGCGAAGAGGCAGUGAAUCUGCCAAAAAGAAGUAGAGCAGCUGUGAAGAUGCCAACACAAUUGAGUACUCUUUCUCUACAUAUUUCUAAAUAUGGCAAUUUAUUGGACACUUAUGAGCAUGGAAUGACAAUGGGGUCAAUUUAACCAUACGGCAAUGCUGAGACACCUUCAUUAUGACCUUUCCCUGGUAUAAGUUAUGUGAUAAUGAAUGCAUGUUUAGUCACACACUGUAGGUACAGAUGGGAAAAAAGAAAGCAUAAAAUAUAAAACAUGAUGUCCAGGUUUCAAAUAAGAAUUCUAAAAUGUUAUUUAAUUAAUGAAAUGAAAAUACUUUACUUUAGAAAAAGAAUAUUGAAUCUCUUUGAUGUAUAAAAUGUAUAUUUCAAAUUAAAAAUUCAAAAGAAACAAA
rnacentral:lncRNA from 1 species